rnacentral:rRNA from 1 species
GAUGAACGCUGGCGGCGUGCCUAAUACAUGCAAGUCGAGCGAACAGAUGAGGAGCUUGCUCCUCUGACGUUAGCGGCGGACGGGUGAGUAACACGUGGAUAACCUACCUAUAAGACUGGGAUAACUUCGGGAAACCGGAGCUAAUACCGGAUAAUAUAUUGAACCGCAUGGUUCAAUAGUGAAAGACGGUUUUGCUGUCACUUAUAGAUGGAUCCGCGCUGCAUUAGCUAGUUGGUAAGGUAACGGCUUACCAAGGCAACGAUGCGUAGCCGACCUGAGAGGGUGAACGGCCACACUGGAACUGAGACACGGUCCAGACUCCUACGGGAGGCAGCAGUAGGGAAUCUUCCGCAAUGGGCGAAAGCCUGACGGAGCAACGCCGCGUGAGUGAUGAAGGUCUUCGGAUCGUAAAACUCUGUUAUUAGGGAAGAACAAAUGUGUAAGUAACUAUGCACGUCUUGACGGUACCUAAUCAGAAAGCCACGGCUAACUACGUG